CAGUGCUCCUCGAUAUGCAAUGUUUUUUCGCUGAAAUUCGAAGGUUUCCAUCAUUUUAUAACUAAAAACUACAUGUUUUUUUGUGCAUUGGUUCGGUAUUUCCAAAUAUACUAUAUUAACAAUAUAGUUCACUCUGGCUGAUUCCAACGGACAACACAGUAGCGACGCGGUGUCACAAAGGGCAAGCAAUGCGUUAGUUACCCUUUGUGACGCAAGAUGGUGUGAUUAUGCUGUCCGUUGCCUAAUAUAUGGAGAUUUAUGAA